CUAGCAUAUCAAUAAGCGGAGGAAAAGAAACCAACAGGGAUUGCCCUAGUAACGGCGAGUGAAGCGGCAACAGCUCAAAUUUGAAAUCUGGCCUUCGGGUCCGAGUUGUAAUUUGUAGAGGAUGCUUUUGGCGCGGUGCCUUCCGAGUUCCCUGGAACGGGACGCCUUAGAGGGUGAGAGCCCCGUACGGUUGGACACCAAGCCUCUGUAAAGCUCCUUCGACGAGUCGAGUAGUUUGGGAAUGCUGCUCUAAAUGGGAGGUAAAUUUCUUCUAAAGCUAAAUACCGGCCAGAGACCGAUAGCGCACAAGUAGAGUGAUCGAAAGAUGAAAAGCACUUUGAAAAGAGGGUUAAAUAGCACGUGAAAUUGUUGAAAGGGAAGCGUUUACGGCCAGACCUUUUCCUGGCGGAUCAUCUGGUGUUCUCACCAGUGCACUCCGCCAGGUUUAGGCCAGCAUCGGCUCCCGUAGGGGGAUAAAAGCAGUGGGAAAGUAGCUCCCUCGGGAGUGUUAUAGCCCGCUGCACAAUACCCUUACAGGGGCCGAGGACCGCGCUUUUGCAAGGAUGCUGGCGUAAUGGUCGUCAACGACCCGUCUUGAAACACGGACCAAGGAGUCGAACAUUUGUGCGAGUGUUUGGGUGUCAAACCCUCACGCGUAAUGAAAGUGAACGGAGGUGAGAGCCCUCUAGGGGGUGCAUCAUCGACCGAUCCUGAUGUCUUCGGAUGGAUUUGAGUAAGAGCAUAACUGUUCGGACCCGAAAGAUGGUGAACUAUGCGUGGAUAGGGUGAAGCCAGAGGAAACUCUGGUGGAGGCUCGCAGCGGUUCUGAUCGUGCAAAUCGAUCGUCAAAUCUGCGCAUGGGGGCGAAAGACUUAUCGAACCAUCUAGUAGCUGGUUACCGC
rnacentral:rRNA from 1 species